GGGAGUGACUGGGUCCUGGUGGGCCCCGCGGGCUUCAAACCCGUUGUUGGGCGGUAAAACCGUCCAUGGUAGGUUCGAUUCCUAUUCACUCCC
rnacentral:tRNA from 1 species